CAUCGCCCCUUGUAAAAUAAAACAAAAUAAGGGGUACUGCCUGCCCAGUGGACUAAUAUUUAAACGGCCGCGGUAUUUUGACCGUGCAAAGGUAGCAUAAUAAUUUGCUCUUUAAUUGAGGGCUAGUAUGAAAGGCAAGACGAAAGCUUAACUGUCUCCCCCUUAAAAAAAGAAAUUUAUAUUUUAGUGAAGAAACUAAAAUAAAAAUGCAAGACGAGAAGACCCUGUCGAGCUUAAGAAAAUUUUUAUAAAAAAAAGAAAAAGCUAAUAUAUUUAACAAUACUUUUGAAAGAAUUACAAUAAAAAUAUCUUUGGUUGGGGCAACCACGAAGAAAAAAUAACCUUCGACUUCUACAAAAAAUAAACAAAUUUAAAAGCUCAAAAUUUAAGCUUUUCAAAAGAUCCGGUAAAACCCGAUCAAAGAAAAAAGUUACCGCAGGGAUAACAGCGUCAUUCUCUUUAAGAGCUCGUAUUGACAAGAGAGUUUGCGACCUCGAUGUUGGACCGGGGCAUCCAAGAGAUGCAGAAGUCUCUAAAGGUAGGUCUGUUCGACCUUUAAAGCCCUACGUGA
rnacentral:rRNA from 1 species